GAGCCUACGGGGGGCUGCAGUGGGGAAUAUUGGACAAUGGGGGGAACCCUGAUCCAGCCAUGCCGCGUGUGUGAAGAAGGCCUUUUGGUUGUAAAGCACUUUAAGCGGGGAGGAGGCUACUUAGAUUAAUACUCUAGGAUAGUGGACGUUACCCGCAGAAUAAGCACCGGCUAACUCUGUGCCAGCAGCCGCGGUAAUACAGAGGGUGCGAGCGUUAAUCGGAUUUACUGGGCGUAAAGCGUGCGUAGGUGGUCUUUUAAGUCGGAUGUGAAAUCCCUGAGCUUAACUUAGGAAUUGCAUUCGAUACUGGGAGACUAGAGUAUGGGAGAGGAUGGUAGAAUUCCAGGUGUAGCGGUGAAAUGCGUAGAGAUCUGGAGGAAUACCGAUGGCGAAGGCAGCCAUCUGGCCUAAUACUGACACUGAGGCACGAAAGCAUGGGGAGCAAACAGGAUUAGAUACCCUAGUAGUCGAA
rnacentral:rRNA from 1 species